UCAAUCUCGCGUGGCUAAACGCCACUCGUCCCUCUAAGAAGCUCGCAGGGGCGCCUCGAUUGGACGCCCGAGCUAUUUAGCAGGCCAGAGUCUCGUUCGUUAU
rnacentral:rRNA from 1 species